GCAAUAGCUCUAUGGACUCUCAUUAAAGCAUGAGACUCAAUCUCAGGGUUGUGGGUUCAAGCCCCACGUUGGGCA